rnacentral:rRNA from 1 species
GACAGAGGAUGCAAGCGUUAUCCGGAAUGAUUGGGCGUAAAGCGUCUGUAGGUGGCUUUUUAAGUCUGCCGUCAAAUCCCAGGGCUUAACCCUGGACAGGCGGAUGAACUACCAAGCUGGAGUACGGUAGGGGCAGAGGGAAUUUCCGGUGGAGCGGUGAAAUGCGUAGAGAUCGAAAGAACACCAACGGCGAAAGCACUCUGCUGGGCCGACACUGACACUGAGAGACGAAAGCUAGGGGAGCGAAUGGG